rnacentral:rRNA from 1 species
AUGGCGGCGGCGAAGAAGAAGGACGACGGCGAGCCUGGGGCGACAGCCAGCGGCGAGGGCGGUGCUCACUCCGAGGUCAACAAGUGGCUAGGCAGCGCAAGUUUCCCGACCCAGCGCUCGUCUGGGCCACCGACGCAGGAGGUCCAGAUCUCGCCGGCGUUCCGCGCGGCCAGGGCAAUGGCCAAAUGCAUCCACGCGGAUCCAGAAGGCGGGCACCAGUGGGCCUCCUCACUUGGUGGCAUGGAAAAUCUGAAUGUGUUGUUUCUUUUUUUGCAUAGUUUGGAUGAUGAAGUAUGGGAAUUGAGGCAGCAUUUUCAGGGUAGAGACAACAUGGAAAUGAAGUUUUCCUUAUCAGAAAUGAAUUACCUGUUAUUGUUAGCACUUAUUGAACUUGAGGGCUAUGGGUUGGAUGCCUAUCUGUCAUAUGUUAAGGAUGAGGGUAAGGGGCUGGAGGGGAUUGAGGUUUUGGACAGUGAUGAGAAGGUGGAGGAGAUGCUAGAUUUGUUUGCUGAGAAGAAAAUAUUGAACAUAACAGUGAGAGAGGCUAGUGACCCAAAUCCAGCAGAUGCAAACAUGGACCACACCUUGCUUGAAGAGCAGAUUCCAAUGAGUCAAGUUGGUGAUCCCAUUGUUUAUAGUGUUUCCCAAGAAGGUGUCCUUUUCCCUGUCUCAAAUUCUUCACAACCUCCACUUGUGCAUGUUGAUCCAUAUUUUAACACACAACAGAGCUGUAAUUUCAACAAGGGAAAAGAGGCAGUGGAAAUUGAAGGCAUUGAAGCAGAAGAUCAAGAUGAAGAUGAGUUGGACAAAUCCUCUUCAGAUUUUGAGUUUUUCAGGGGUGAUUACAGAGGGAAGAAAAUUUCAUACAAGUCUUGGGCUAGGGGAGAAGAUGAAGGUGGUGUAGGAACAAGUCAGCACUAUAGGGAAGAGGAAGAGAUGGUUGAGCAUUAUUUUGGGGCAGCUUCUGAACCCUCAGAGUUUUGGCAGGAGCCAAAUGGUUCUGAAGAAGAUGAUGAAGAAGAAGCUUCAGAUCAUGUGAAAACUGUGGCACAGAAGAUACCUGUGAGGAAACAAGGCCCAACAAGCAGAUCACACAGUGAGCCGGAUCACAUAAAGUUUGAAGAUUUCGUGCUAGAAGCUGAUGAGUUCUGCUUUCCAGGUGAUGAAGGCAUUUCUGAUGAAGAAGAUGAUGCACCUAGGUUGCCUUGUGGCAGGAAGAUAAAAUUGAAGAAGAAGGAGAGAAUAUGAGAAGCAUUGAGAAACUACCAUGUUAGGACACUUAGGAACUUUGAGUACCAUAGGAAUGAUCCAAGUAGGAUCAUAGCCUGGUGCUUAGAUAGAAAGCAUGGUUGUGAGUUUUAUAUUACUGCUUCUAAGAUUGCCCAUGAGUCAACCUUUAGCAUCAAGAAGAUGAAUCUUGAUCACACCUGUGGAGCAAGUGGAGAGAACACAAAGGUUACCAUGAAGUGGGUUGCAAAGGCUGUUGAGGAUACUGGUCUGCUCAAUGCAAUAGAGGAUGUAUUUCCUGAUUCCCCUCAAAGAUUUUGUUUAACACACAUAUAUGCCAACUUCCAAUCAGCUGGGUUUAGAGGGGAUGAAUUGAAAAAACAUCUAGACCAGGCUGCAUAUUCUUUCACUAAGCAUGGGCAUGAUCUGGGCAUGGAAGCAUUGAAGAAAGAGAGUGAGGAGGCAUGGAAGUGGUUGUCCAACAUACCAGUCCAUACUUGGGCCAGGCAUAGAAUGGAUAUUAUAUGCAAGAUAGACCUUGUUGUAAACAAUCUUAGUGAAGUUUUCAACAGGAUGAUUCUGGAUGUUAGGAACAAGCCCAUAAGGACAAUGCUUGAAGGAAUGAGGACAAAACUCAUGAUCAAGUUUCAAAAGAUUAGGGAGAAGACAGAGCCAUGUAGGUGGGAUAUCACACCCACUUACUCUGAGAUAUUGGAGGAGGCCAAGAAGUGGGCAAAAUAUUGUGAUGCAUAUAUGGCUGGACCAGGCAUUUGGCAAGUUACAAGUAGUUCAGAAAAGACCUACUGUGUAAACCUAAACAACUACACUUGUGACUGCAGGAGGUGGGAUAUGACAGCUGUUCCAUGUAGUCAUGCUAUAGCAGCAAUGCAGAAGGUGAAGCUACACCCUGAAGAUUUUGUUCAUGAGUUCUUCAAGAAGCCCCUCUACUGUGAAACCUACAAGCAUAUUAUAUACCCUGUUCCAGGCCCUGAUUGUUGGCCACACACCAUGGGGGAUGACAUAUCUCCUCCAGAGAAUAGGCCAGACUACUCUUCAUCUACCAUGGCUACUACAGGUGUGGUUGCACCACCACCACCAUCAGCACCAUCAGCACCAGCCAUAGCUAGGAAGAGGCCUGCAACAGCCACAGCUACUCCAGGACCAGCAAAGAGGAACAAGGCAGCUACUUCUGCUACUCCAGCACCUGCCACAUCAGCACCUGCCAAGAAGACCAAAGCAACCAAGAAGACAAGGGCUCCUAGCACAUCUUCACCAGCCAAGAACACAAGGGCGAGCCCUUUGCCUCCUCACAUCCACUUCAUGCACUGCCUCCUCUUCCUCAUCUGUCACCUCCCCAAGCUCUGGAUCCAUCUAGGGUUUCAAGAGGUGGGGUGUGGCGGCAGUGUUCUGGAGGGAGGAGGGUGGGUGGAGUAG